GACGAACGCUGGCGGCGUGCUUAACACAUGCAAGUCGAACGGAAAGGCCCAGCUUGCUGGGUACUCGAGUGGCGAACGGGUGAGUAACACGUGGGUGAUCUGCCCUGGACUCUGGGAUAAGCCUGGGAAACUGGGUCUAAUACCGGAUAUGACCUUACAUCGCAUGGUGUUUGGUGGAAAGCUUUUGCGGUUCGGGAUGGGCCCGCGGCCUAUCAGCUUGUUGGUGGGGUAAUGGCCUACCAAGGCGACGACGGGUAGCCGACCUGAGAGGGUGAUCGGCCACACUGGGACUGAGACACGGCCCAGACUCCUACGGGAGGCAGCAGUGGGGAAUAUUGCACAAUGGGCGCAAGCCUGAUGCAGCGACGCCGCGUGAGGGAUGACGGCCUUCGGGUUGUAAACCUCUUUCACCAGGGACGAAGCGUGAGUGACGGUACCUGGAGAAGAAGCACCGGCCAACUACGUG
rnacentral:rRNA from 1 species